rnacentral:rRNA from 1 species
GACGAACGCUGGCGGCGUGCUUAACACAUGCAAGUCGAACGGAAAGGCCUCUUUCGGGGGGUACUCGAGUGGCGAACGGGUGAGUAACACGUGAGUAACCUGCCCUUGACUUUGGGAUAACUUCAGGAAACUGGGGCUAAUACCGGAUAGGAGCUCCUGCUGCAUGGUGGGGGUUGGAAAGUUUCGGCGGUUGGGGAUGGACUCGCGGCUUAUCAGCUUGUUGGUGGGGUAGUGGCUUACCAAGGCUUUGACGGGUAGCCGGCCUGAGAGGGUGACCGGCCACAUUGGGACUGAGAUACGGCCCAGACUCCUACGGGAGGCAGCAGUGGGGAAUAGUGCACAAUGGGUGGAAGCCUGAUGCAGCAACGCCGUGUGCGGGAUGACGGACUUCGGGUUGUAAACCGCUUUCGCUCAUGACGAAGCUUUGUGUGACGGUAGUGGGUAAAGAAGCACCGGCUAACUACGUG